GAUGAACGCUAGCGGCAGGCCUAAUACAUGCAAGCCGGACGGCAAGUUGAGUAGCAAUACUUGACCUAGAGUGGCGUAAGGGUGCGUAACACGUAUGCAAUCUGCCCCACAGCCCGGGGAGAUAGCCCUCCGAAAGGAGGAUUAAUAUCCCAUAGGAAGAUGAGAUGGCAUCAUUUUAUUUUUAAACUACGGGGCUGUGGAUGAGCAUGCGGUUGAUUAGCUAGUUGGCGGGGUAAAGGCCCACCAAGGCGAUGAUCAAUAGGGGACCUGAGAAGGGUGAUCCCCCACACUGGCACUGAGAUACGGGCCAG
rnacentral:rRNA from 1 species